rnacentral:rRNA from 1 species
UACGUAGGGUGCAAGCGUUUGUCCGGAAUUAUUGGGCGUAAAGAGCUCGUAGGCGGUCUGUUGCGUCGGCUGUGAAAACCCGGGGCUCAACUCCGGGCCUGCAGCCGAUACGGGCAGACUAGAGUUCGGCAGGGGAGACUGGAAUUCCUGGUGUAGCGGUGAAAUGCGCAGAUAUCAGGAGGAACACCGGUGGCGAAGGCGGGUCUCUGGGCCGAUACUGACGCUGAGGAGCGAAAGCGUGGGGGAGCGAACAGG